GAGGUGCUGUCCUACUGCUGGCAGUCUCAUCAUGUGGCACAAGGCUUAAAAACAGGACACAGUUCAAUCACCUUUUUCAGUCUGUAACAGCUUGUAACUCCAAAAAGGGCUUCUUAAAACGACACUAAUUUCUCCUUCGUCUAAGUCCAGCUAAGCAGCAGGGCGCUUCUGGAAAGGAGAACUACACAAAGAGCUUGUGAUGCCAUCACCUAACUGAAAUCGUACCUUGAUGCUCUUUCUGUCUAAAGAACAGGUAAAUUAAAGAACAAGUUCAAUUUUCA